GAUGAACGCUGGCGGCGUGCCUAAUACAUGCAAGUCGAGCGAACGGACGAGAAGCUUGCUUCUCUGAUGUUAGCGGCGGACGGGUGAGUAACACGUGGAUAACCUACCUAUAAGACUGGGAUAACUUCGGGAAACCGGAGCUAAUACCGGAUAAUAUUUUGAACCGCAUGGUUCAAAAGUGAAAGACGGUCUUGCUGUCACUUAUAGAUGGAUCCGCGCUGCAUUAGCUAGUUGGUAAGGUAACGGCUUACCAAGGCAACGAUGCAUAGCCGACCUGAGAGGGUGACCGGCCACACUGGAACUGAGACACGGUCCAGACUCCUACGGGAGGCAGCAGUAGGGAAUCUUCCGCAAUGGGCGAAAGCCUGACGGAGCAACGCCGCGUGAGUGAUGAAGGUCUUCGGAUCGUAAAACUCUGUUAUUAGGGAAGAACAUAUGUGUAAGUAACUGUGCACAUCUUGACGGUACCUAAUCAGAAAGCCACGGCUAACUACGUGCCAGCAGCCGCGGUAAUACGUAGGUGGCAAGCGUUAUCCGGAAUUAUUGGGCGUAAAGCGCGCGUAGGCGGUUUUUUAAGUCUGAUGUGAAAGCCUACGGCUCAACCGUGGAGGGUCAUUGGAAACUGGAAAACUUGAGUGCAGAAGAGGAAAGUGGAAUUCCAUGUGUAGCGGUGAAAUGCGCAGAGAUAUGGAGGAACACCAGUGGCGAAGGCGACUUUCUGGUCUGUAACUGACGCUGAUGUGCGAAAGCGUGGGGAUCAAACAGGAUUAGAUACCCUGGUAGUCCACGCCGUAAACGAUGAGUGCUAAGUGUUAGGGGGUUUCCGCCCCUUAGUGCUGCAGCUAACGCAUUAAGCACUCCGCCUGGGGAGUACGACCGCAAGGUUGAAACUCAAAGGAAUUGACGGGGACCCGCACAAGCGGUGGAGCAUGUGGUUUAAUUCGAAGCAACGCGAAGAACCUUACCAAAUCUUGACAUCCUUUGACAACUCUAGAGAUAGAGCCUUCCCCUUCGGGGGACAAAGUGACAGGUGGUGCAUGGUUGUCGUCAGCUCGUGUCGUGAGAUGUUGGGUUAAGUCCCGCAACGAGCGCAACCCUUAAGCUUAGUUGCCAUCAUUAAGUUGGGCACUCUAAGUUGACUGCCGGUGACAAACCGGAGGAAGGUGGGGAUGACGUCAAAUCAUCAUGCCCCUUAUGAUUUGGGCUACACACGUGCUACAAUGGACAAUACAAAGGGCAGCGAAACCGCGAGGUCAAGCAAAUCCCAUAAAGUUGUUCUCAGUUCGGAUUGUAGUCUGCAACUCGACUACAUGAAGCUGGAAUCGCUAGUAAUCGUAGAUCAGCAUGCUACGGUGAAUACGUUCCCGGGUCU
rnacentral:rRNA from 1 species